rnacentral:rRNA from 1 species
UACGUAGGGUGCAAGCGUUGUCCGGAAUUAUUGGGCGUAAAGAGCUCGUAGGCGGUCUGUCGCGUCGGCUGUGAAAACUCGGGGCUCAACCCCGAGCCUGCAGUCGAUACGGGCAGACUAGAGUGCUGUAGGGGAGACUGGAAUUCCUGGUGUAGCGGUGAAAUGCGCAGAUAUCAGGAGGAACACCUAUGGCGAAGGCAGCUCGCUGGGACGGUACUGACGCUGAGGCGCGAAAGCGUGGGGAGCGAACAGG